UAAAUAUACAGGAAGAAAUGAAUAAAGAUAUGUCAGUGAGAGCAAAAGAAGCCCUUAUGAUUUCUGAACAAAAUAGGUAGACUGAAUUUGGUGGGACAAGACAACCCACUGAAACUCCAUCAUGGGACUCCUACUGAGCUAUCACAAGAGAAAGAGUGAAAUCACAUUUAAAGAAAAAAAUUGAUCAGUCUCUGCUUAAGUCAUUGCUUCUCUCUUAGUACAACUGACAGACACACUACUUUUAUCUUUUACAGUUACGGGUUCAAAGUGCUCCUGCUGCUGACCACUAAGAAACAGGAGCAGCUGCAGUGAAGCUGGAAGAUAGAUGUCAAGUCCUACAUGACCACAGAGUUAACUUAAAAGAAAUAGCACUGUGCGAUGGGUCAAAGAAAAAGAUUGGAUUUCUAUCAGAAAAAUAAAGGUGGCACACAAAGGGAACAAAAUGAGGCUCUACUUCAUUUUGCUUUUCAGGAAAGAUGCUUUCAAUUAGGAUUUCUCUGACAUAAUAGAAAUAUGCCUAUAAGCCAUAACUAAUUGCCUAAUGAUCCAAUUCUAUAGGAAGUAAGAUACCUCAAACUUAAACAUGUUAAUAGCUUAGUUUAAAUGAGGGCGAGGGAAAUUAAUUGGAAAGAAAGGAAUUAACAUUUAGUUGGCCUUUUUUAAGCAGAGAAGAAAAUGCAAAUCAAAAGCCAUCUCUAAAGACUAGCUAACCCUUUGUGUAUAGAGAGAACCAGAUGAGCCUGUGCCAGUUAAAAACAAACAGACAAGUUACAAACAGGACUUUAUGUUUAACUCCAAAGCGUGAUUUGUGUGGAUUUAGGUGUACUUAGUAACCAGGCAAAAAAAGAUAAGAAUCACAUUCUGACUCAGUGUAUGAUUUAGGGGUUUCAGCUCUGCUUUAACUUCUUGCUUGUGUGAUCUGCUUAAAUGAAAACCAAUUAAAAGCUCUUUUGCCAAGC